rnacentral:rRNA from 1 species
GCUAAACGCGAAGAACCUUACCCACCUUUGACAUGUACGGAAUCCUUUAGAGAUAGAGGAGUGCUCGAAAGAGAGCCGUAACACAGGUGCUGCAUGGCUGUCGUCAGCUCGUGUCGUGAGAUGUUGGGUUAAGUCCCGCAACGAGCGCAACCCUUGCCAUUAGUUGCUAUAUUUAGUUGAGCACUCUAAUGGGACUGCCAGUGACAAACCGGAGGAAGGUGGGGAUGACGUCAAGUCCUCAUGGCCCUUAUAGGUGUGGCUACACACGUCACACAAUGGCUGGUACAAAGGGUUGCCAACCCGCGAGGGGGAGCUAAUCCCAUAAAGCCAGUCGUAGUCCGGAUCGCAGUCUGCAACUCGACUGCGUGAAGUCGGAAUCGCUAGUAAUCGUGGAUCAGAAUGUCACGGUGAAUACGUUCCCGGGUCUUGUACACACCG